rnacentral:rRNA from 1 species
AUUGAACGCUGGCGGCAGGCCUAACACAUGCAAGUCGAACGAGUGGCGGACGGGUGAGUAAUGUCUGGGAAACUGCCUGAUGGAGGGGGAUAACUACUGGAAAAGGUAGCUAAUACCGCAUAACAUGCGAUGUGCCCAGAAGGGAUUAGCUAGUUGGAGGGGUAACGGCGCACCAAGACGACGAUACCUAGCUGGUCUGAGAGGAUGACCAGCAACACUGGAACUGAUAAACGUUCCAGACUCCUACGGGAGGCAGCAGUGGGGAAUAUUGCACAAUGGGCGCAAUCCUGAUGCAGCCAUGCCGCGUGUAUGAAGAAGGCCUGCGGGUUGUAAAGUACGUUCAGCGGUGAGGCGUUACCCGCAGAAGAAGCACCGGCUGACUCCGGGCCAGUAGCCGCGGUAAUUC